rnacentral:rRNA from 1 species
AUUGAACGCUGGCGGCAUGCCUUACACAUGCAAGUCGAACGGUAACGCGGGGCAACCUGGCGACGAGUGGCGAACGGGUGAGUAAUGCAUCGGAACGUGCCCGGUAGUGGGGGAUAACUGCUCGAAAGAGCAGCUAAUACCGCAUACGACCUGAGGAUGAAAGGGGGGGAUCGCAAGACCUCUCGCUAUUGGAGCGGCCGAUAUCAGAUUAGGUAGUUGGUGGGGUAAAGGCCUACCAAGCCGACGAUCUGUAGCUGGUCUGAGAGGACGACCAGCCACACUGGGACUGAGACACGGCCCAGACUCCUACGGGAGGCAGCAGUGGGGAAUAUUGGACAAUGGACGCAAGUCUGAUCCAGCCAUGCCGCGUGAAGGAUUAAGGUCCUCUGGAUUGUAAACUUCUUUUAUAAGGGACGAAAAAAGGCUUUUCUAAGUCGUCUGACGGUACCCUAUGAAUAAGCACCGGCUAACUCCGUGCCAGCCGCCGCCGUAAGAC